rnacentral:rRNA from 1 species
UACGAAGGGGGCGAGCGUUGUUCGGAUUUACUGGGCGUAAAGGGCGCGCAGGCGGUCUUGAAAGUCAGGCGUGAAAGCCCCGGGCUUAACCUGGGAAUUGCGCUUGAUACUCUGAGACUGGAGUACGGGAGAGGAGAGUGGAAUUCCCAGUGUAGAGGUGAAAUUCGUAGAUAUUGGGAAGAACACCAGUGGCGAAGGCGGCUCUCUGGACCGUAACUGACGCUGAGGCGCGAAAGCGCGGGGAGCGAACAGG